AGAUUGAACGCUGGCGGCAGGCCUAACACAUGCAAGUCGAGCGGUAGAGAGGUGCUUGCACCUCUUGAGAGCGGCGGACGGGUGAGUGAUGCCUAGGAAUCUGCCUAGUGGUGGGGGGAUAACGGUUCGGGAAAACGGACGCUAAAUACCGGCAAUACCGUCCUACGGGGAGAAAGCCGGGGGGACCUUCGGGGCCUUCGCGCCAUUAGAUGAGCCUAGGUCGGAUUAGCUAGUUGGUGAGGUAAUGGCUCACCAAGGCGACGAUCCGUAACUGGUCUGGAGAGGAUGAUCAGUCACA
rnacentral:rRNA from 1 species